rfam:Arabidopsis thaliana chromosome 1, complete sequence.
AGCAUGAUGAUGAGAAAAAUGUGCCACUGAAUUCAAAAUUCAUGUUGAUAUAUUUAUUAUACAACCUUCAAAGUUCUCUGAAUUGCU